rnacentral:rRNA from 1 species
CGGCAACAGCUCAAAUUUGAAACCUGGCGCAAGCCCGGAUUGUAAUUUGCAGAGGAUGCUUCUGGGCAGCGGCCGGUCUAAGUUCCUUGGAACAGGACGUCACAGAGGGUGAGAAUCCCGUAUGUGACCGGCGCGCACCCUCCACGUAGCUCCUUCGACGAGUCGAGUUGUUUGGGAAUGCAGCUCUAAAUGGGUGGUAAAUUCCAUCUAAAGCUAAAUAUUGGCCAGAGACCGAUAGCGCACAAGUAGAGUGAUCGAAAGAUGAAAAGCACUUUGGAAAGAGAGUUAAAAAGCACGUGAAAUUGUUGAAAGGGAAGCGCUCACAACCAGACUCCGCGGCGGUGUUCCGCCGGUCUUCUGACCGGUCCACUCGCCGCCGUGGGGCCAACAUCGUCUGGGGCCGCCGGAUAAGACCGCAGGAAUGUAGCUCAUCGAGUGUUAUAGCCUGCGGUGAUGCGGCGCGCCCCGGGCGAGGUCCGCGCCUCGGCAAGGAUGUUGGCGUAAUGGUUGUCAGCGGCCCGUCUUGAAACACGGACCAAGGAGUCUAACAUCUAUGCGAGUGUUCGGGUGUCAAACCCCUACGCGUAAUGAAAGUGAACGGAGGUGGGAAGCUUCGGCCGCACCAUCGACCGAUCCUGAUGUCCUCGGAUGGAUUUGAGUAAGAGCAUAGCUGUUGGGACCCGAAAGAUGGUGAACUAUGCCUGAAUAGGGUGAAGCCAGAGGAAACUCUGG